AUGGUCACCACUGGGGAGGCAAAGAUCAUUGUGCCCAGCGUGGUGAAUCACCAUAAAGAAGUUCCUCCCAACAGCCAUAGGAUGGUGGCACGUACUGCUCUGGUGUCCAGGAUGAUUUGACGGAGAAUGUCUGCAAACAGGGCCUUAAAGAAGAGAAGUAUUCAAACAAGACCUGAAAUAUCAGACAACAAAGAUCAGAAGUAUCUGCUUUAAUGGAAGAAUUUUAUGCUGAUUCUUUGACUACAAAGGAUUGCUUGUGCCUUUAUACAUACUUUCCUGCAGCAAGAGGAAUCACAGCAUGGAUUGCAUUUCUUCUCUUCAGCAAGGGGAAUGGGUCUGCAGCUCAUCUGCAUCAGUUCAUCUAUAACACUGAGCCAGGUGACGGGGCUGGGACUUAUCCCUGCACACAGGACCUGGUUCAUCCAUCCACAAGCGUAUCAGGAGUGGGGGACUUGUUUCUGGCUAUAGGUGUUGGAGGUAGUCACUGGAACAACAUCGCCUGAAAUUUGUGUCCACUUGAAAUGCUGCGUGUUUGUAAUCGCCGAGCAAGAAUGAGCAGCAUGCUGAGUGAGAAGCGCACCCAAAAGAAAAGAGGGAGUUCAAAGAAAACUGGAAGAUGGAGGCAAACAGAAAGAAAUGGAAGUGUCAAGUUUUUAAACAGAAAACAAAGAAGCCUAUAACCUAAAAACCCACAAGCCUAAAGGUAACAGUCAUUUCCUAUUUCUGUGAAAACUGUUGGGGUUUCUCUAAAGGAAGUGGGGGGUGGAGAGAGGACAGUUCCUGGUAUUUUCCUGAGA